UACGUAGGGUGCAAGCGUUAAUCGGAAUUACUGGGCGUAAAGCGUGCGCAGGCGGUUCGUUGUGUCGGCGGUGAAAGCCCCCGGGCUCAACCUGGGAAUGGCCGUUGAAACUGGCGAACUGGAGUGUGGCAGAGGGGGGUGGAAUUCCGCGUGUAGCAGUGAAAUGCGUAGAGAUGCGGAGGAACACCGAUGGCGAAGGCAGCCCCCUGGGCUGACACUGACGCCUCAGGCACGAAAGCGUGGGGAGCAAACAGG
rnacentral:rRNA from 1 species